rnacentral:rRNA from 1 species
GUAGUCCACGCUGUAAACGUUGGGCACUAGGUGUGGGGGGCCUUUUCCGGGUUUUCCGCGCCGUAGCUAACGCAUUAAGUGCCCCGCCUGGGGAGUACGGCCGCAAGGCUAAAACUCAAAGGAAUUGACGGGGGCCCGCACAAGCGGCGGAGCAUGCGGAUUAAUUCGAUGCAACGCGAAGAACCUUACCAAGGCUUGACAUGGGCUGGAUUGCUUCGGAGACGGGGUUUCCCUUUUUUUGGGCUGGUUCACAGGUGGUGCAUGGUUGUCGUCAGCUCGUGUCGUGAGAUGUUGGGUUAAGUCCCGCAACGAGCGCAACCCUUGUAUCGUGUUGCCAGCACGUUGUGGUGGGGACUCGCGGGAGACUGCCGGGGUUAACUCGGA